UCAAAAUUAAGAAAAGAAAAAAAACGAAGAGGAUUUAGGGUUCGUGUGUGACGAUCCCAAUCCCACAAACCUAAACGUUCUCCUCCUCUCAUGAAUCUUCGCGGCGGUGGACCGCUUCCAUGCGCCGAUAACCUGUUCACCUCGUCACCACAGCCAAACACAACACCUCACCUCCGAUCGACCUCUUAUUCUUUCGUUCGGCUCUCUCCGUCUCAAUUCGUUCAACUUCAAACAACAAAACGAAAGAAGAAUGGAAAUGAGAGCUUACCUGUCGAAGAUCGAAAAUGUUAGACAAGAAAACCAGAGGGGAGAAAAUAAGAGCUCCGAAUGCGCAACAGAUGAAGAAGUCAAUGAUUCAGAUUGAAGAUGAUGCUAUAACGAAGAUGAUGAUGUUGCUUCUUGAUGAAGAUUUUUAGAGUUGAAGAAAUAAGAUGAUGAAUGAAGUUGUUGAGUCGAAGGUGGAUUUGCAGAUGAAUAUGAAGAAUGGUGAUGAAGAUUGAAUGUGAAGGAGAGUGGUGGAGGCUGAAAAAAUGGUGGAGAGUAGAAGAUGAUGUGAAGGAGGAGAUGAAGAUGAUUGAAGAAAAAAAUGGAAAAAUGGUGGAGAUGUCGGUUAUAUAGAGGUUGAAGAAACUGACUUCAGUUAGAGGAGAGGAAGAGAUUUAGUUGAGGCACGGGUCAGAAUUAGCUUCCUCCUUGCUACUAGUUCUGCUUAGCAUUGCGCAAAGGUGUAAAAACAUAGUCAGAAUCAGCCUCGGCAUGGACUUGAAUGAUCGAUCCGUUUUUAGCAUUAACUUCAAACAAACUGAUUUCUUUGGAUCCAAGUACAACAGCUCCAUCAUCUGAAAUUUUGCAUUUUGAGGUUUGUCUUUUCCCAAUGUUACUGACUGUAUGCGUAAUUCGUGAAUUUGAAAUGGAUUGUGCGGUAUAAAUUGUGUGGCUCUUAGGAUGUUAAGAUGGAACUUAGGUGGUUAAUUAGUUUAGGUAAAGGGCUGUUAUAUGGAACUGAUGUUGAAAUUGUUUUUUUGUAUAGGUUUUAAUUUGUAGAAGCAGGGUUGUUUAUUGGGAUAGUCGUUAGAAAUUAUUUGUUAGCUUGAAGCUGAAUAUAUGGAUGAGAAUAGAACUGUUCUUUUUGUGAUGUUGAUUCAGUAUGUUGCAGGUUGGACAAUUUUGGGAUGUAAUUGGGGUAAGGUUGGUCAUGUGACAGGUUGGCUGAAUGAAUUUUAUGGAUUGUGUAGGGUUUACCGAGCUCGGAACAUGGUGUUGAUCCUGGUGUUGGGACUGCAAGUCAAAUUUUCUGUUAUGGACUUGAUGAAACAGGUUGUUAGGACCUUUGCUUGUUAUUGUUGUAGGCUGCGGGUUUAUGGUUUGGAAGCAGCUUAUGGAGCUUGUCAUCUUGGUCAUGGAGAAGGAAAGUGGGAAAGGCUUUGAAAUGCCAUAGGUCUAAGAGAGUCAAAUCUGUCCAAAGAGUCGAAGGGUCAACUGUAUUUUUGUUGUGGUGAUUUUCUUUGUAAUAUUGAAUGUAAGGACAAGAAUUUUUGUAUUGGUGGUUGAAAGUGUAAAUGGAUAUGGCUAUAACAUAUAUUUGGACUUUGGAAUGGGGAACUCUUAAACGGAUAAAUGAUCUUUUCUUUCCAAUCAA